rnacentral:lncRNA from 1 species
GUGGGGGCUCUCAUAGUCUUCACGUCAGUAGUGGGGCUCGAGACCCCGCCGCCCCAUGCUGGAUCCGCCCCUGUGGAUCGGAGGGGUAGCAAUUUAGUACUACAUCAGAUACAUUUUAAUAUUUUAUUAUUUUUAAUAUACAGUAUUAAUUCAAUUAUAGAUUUAAAAUGAAGAAAGUAAUUAGUCUAUUCUAGUCCCAAACGAACGAACUUGCUGGAACGCACUUGUGCAGUAUGUUUAGAAUUUAAUUGGGGGUAGUUAACUGCUAUCGGAUGGGAAGGUGUUCGUUAGUUAAUUAAUACUUAAUGCCCCAUUUGUCCUAAAAUAUAAAUAAUUUUAGGUGAAUGUGACAUAUUCUAAUAUUAUGAAUCUGACAUAGCUUAUAGAAUCCAUUUAAAAUCUUUUAUAUUUUAGGACGGAGGGACUAGUAUCAAUUUCAUUAUGCUCUUGAUUUUAAGGAACUCUGCUGCUGCUCUUCUAAUUGGAGUAGUGAGUUCCCUACCAUUGACGCAAUUUAAUGUAAAAUACUAGUUUAUGUUAUCUUGUAAGUAAACAACUGUAUGUUAUCUCUGAUGAUCUUACACAUGGCACAGGUGAACCAUACAUAAGUCCAUAACUCACACAUGGCAUAGGUGGACCAAACUGUAACACUCUACGUAUGUGAGAUAGAUUUUCCAUCCUUUAAAAGAAUAUCCUCUUGUUUUGUACAUAUCACUAAAAAUAUUAAAAUGUUUUAGAAAAAUAACAAUAUAGUCCAUAUGUGAUAUAUCACUUCAUAAAUAUACACGUUAAAAUUCACCUUAUACAAUUUAAACCAAAAUAAUAAAUUUAAUUACAAGUAGAGUACUAUUUGUAAUUAAAUUUGUUAUUCUUUUAUAUAGGUUGAACUUAAAUUGUAUAUUUGUGGAUUGAUAUAUCAUAUAUUAAUCUAUUAUACUAAAUUUUUAAAAAGAUUUUAUUACUAUUUAAAUUACAGAUAAAAAAACAAUUUUCCGUACUGCGUCUACGUAUACUCUCCUCUCUCUCUCUCACACACACAGAGAUACAUACAGAUGGUGCAGGCAAUAGCCAAAGUCAAGGUCUCGCCAUCAACUUGCACAACAACAUUGAUAUCUGAAUUAAAAAAAGGCAAACCCCACACAAGACGCAUGGAUUUAUUUUACUCCCGAUAACGAGAAAAAAAAAACACACAUAUGAAUGCAUGAUAGAGGCAGCUCGAUCGGUCCAGUAUAAAAAAGCCUUCUUGGCUGUUCCGUCUUCUUGGGCGUAGAGCCAGCUAUCUAUCAGCCACCGCACAACCCACAACUGGCCUUCAGAAAGGGAGGAAGAAGAUGAUGGAGGUGGAGAAGCCAUGGGAGUUGAAGGAGGAUGUGGAGAUCAUGACGGAGGAGGAGGAAGAAGACGACAGCAGCAACCUGCUGCAGGCCAGGGGCAGGAACAAGAAGCACGCGCUCAUCAAUGGAGAUGAACAACAACAACAACAAGAAGAAGAAGAAGAAGAAGAGGUUGUUGAGGAGCACAAGAGCGUCUUCUUUGAUCCAACCCAAGGUAAGAGAUAAUCUUCAUUUCUCACUCCUCUGCUCAACUGCUUUCUUCUGUCUUUUAUUUAUGUGAAGAACAACUCACUACUAAUAGUAGUGAUGCAACCACAAUUAGUACCAAUCAAUUUCCUUUUACUUCUUAAUUAAUUCCUUGAUACUACUGUUUCUUUGGGGAGGGAAGUAAGCUAAGCCAACUCCUGUUGCAUUGUAGCUGUGCGCCUUGUUGCAAAUUCUAUUACCUUCAACACUGAUUUUAUCUCCUGCCUACCUUUCUUCUCCAUUUCUUUCAUUCUCUCUCUCUCUCUCUUGUUAUUUUUGUUAAGCACAAAAGAAACAGACUUUUUGAAAAGGAAAAGGAGAAGAAAACAAAUGGGCUAACAUGGGGGACGCAUAUAAGUUAUGGUUAGGACAGAGAUAGACAGAUACCACCAACAGCUACAGCCCUGCAGAUACUUCGUUUUGCAGGUCCCUUUCCCUCAUCCAAUCAUCUUUUCUUCGCCCACAAAUUUCAGCGAACAUCAUGUGCCCUACGUGGCUGAUGAUUGUGCAGCUCCUUCACUUGUUAGACUUUUUUCGUGUUAGGCAAAAAUUCUGUCUAGUACCUGUCAUGUCACUUUUGGAAGUACCUUUAAGAAAAAGGAUGUCUUUUAUGGUGAAUUUGAUGUUCUUGUUUAGCAUCUUCCAUUCCAUCUUCUAGAAGCUCCCAUCAUUAAUUUGAUAUUUGGGGGAGGAGAUUCAAUAUUGUAAGCUUGUUAUAAAUAGAUGGGUUUAUACUUUUGAAGAAAUUAACCCAUCAGCUUGUACAGGCUUACAAUUAAGAUUUUUAGGCUGGCCUUCAAAGACAUGGCAUCGGAUCUUUGUAAUUUAUAUAGUUGAUUUCUGUACUGCAACAUUAUUUAUGUCUAUUGAUUGACUAAACCAAAUACCAAUUGUCAAGGAAAAUCAUGGCUAAUUAAUACUUGUCAAUAUAUGCAGUUGGCAACAGAAGUAGUCUAAGGAUUAAUAUCUUUGCUCUUUUUAUAUUUAUGGAUAUAGAUGCCGAAUUUCUAUCCAUUAUCUAAAAAAAAGCAAGCCUAUUCAAGCUUCCAACAUAAAUUCACUGAUAGAUUGGAAACUUUAGAUAAAAGAACACAUAAAAAAUCCUACUUACAAAAUCACAUGGUAAUUUUCUCUUUCUUCCAAGGCUACACUUCAUCUUCUGUUGGAAUGUUAAAUGUGUAUCCAAUGGAACAUGAUUUGCUUGUGCAAGUGAAUCCAUAGAUAAAUACUACUGGUAGCAACACAAGAUACAAACUUUAGGACAUCUUUUUCCCCCUCUUUAAACAUUUAAAGAUAGUCAUUUAUUUCUUUGCUGAAGGGUUAUGGAAGUGCCGUCACUGCGAUUGGACAUACCUCUUGAGUGGUCCAUCCAGAAAUGUUAUCCUGAAUCAUCAAGGGUAUUGCCAAAUCACGACGAAUCUUGAAUCGUUAGUUCAGAGUGAAUCAUUUUACAGUUCACCAAGCAAAGGUUAGUGUUGAGUAUUCAGAAGCGUAGGAUAAUAAUGGUUAGAUUUCUAAAGCUUUCUUUAAAACUGAAUAAAAUAGUGAUGGCAAAACUAGGUCACUAAUCAUGCUUGCUAAGGGAGGCUUCAGUUUUGGUUGUACCGGCAUUGAGCUAGUUCUGCUUCAGUUUAUUCAACAAACCUGAGAGUCUAGCUUGAUCUGUUUAAGCUCUUGUAAUCAUUCUUUGAAGCUUUUUAUGCACAAAAUGAGCAUGUCACUGAUGAUGGAAAAGCUGGUAAAGUUUGAAGUAUUUAAUAAUAUUGCCUUUUUCUCUAUUUUCAGUUUCUGAGCAUGUUACUGAAGUAAGUGGUAAGAAUGAAGUUACAAGAGUGGAGCAGUUCGUUGCUAAAAAGGAAAAGGCGCAUGAAACAUCAAGUUCAAAGGGAAAAGAACUUGAGACACAGGAAAAUGCUAAUUCUCAAGAAACUAAUGAAAAUUCUAAUAACAGCAGUUUGGAGAACAGAUCACCUUCAAAUGGUUCACAUGAAGUCUGUAACAGUGGUGAAACAGUUACAGUUGCAAAUGGAAAAGCAGGCUUGAAAGUGAUCACAAUCAUUGACAAGAACCAAAACGGCCUGGCAAACUCAAAUGGUUCUCUUCACAUUGCCAAUGUCAGCAUGAACAAAACUAGUGUCCAUGAAAUUGAAGCUGAGAAGGAUGAAGAUGUCAUUAAGGGCAAAGUGAACAUUGAAGAGUAUGACCUUGAGAAAAUUCUUGAUGAGCAAGAAACUCAUGACCUGUUCUGUCCCAAUUGCAACUCAUGCAUAACUCAAAGGGUGAUUCUGCGGAAGAGAAAAAGGACAGUAAGACAAACAUCACCUGAUGAACCACCAAAGAAAACACAGAUUGCAGAGCCUUCUGCUAAUACUUCAAAUCAGACUGUACCUGAAAGACAAGGGCAAGAGUCACCUGACAUAUUCAGAUGUUUAUCAUGCUUCGCCUUCUUCAUUCCAACAGGUAUCAUUUGGGGAAGCGCUUGUAAAUUGUAAUCACGCAUUCAUCACCUGAAGCUUAGCAUAUUUGCUAAAUGAAAUAGAAAUGUUAUUUAGCGUAUUCACUAAAAAAAAUAGUAGAAAUGUUACUUAGAAUCAUUAUACUUGUGUAUACAGUUUCAGAUCCACCAUACCUGCACUAUUUAUGCACAAAGAGCCAAAACUGAAAGUCUCACAUGAUUCAUUUCAUUCAUGAUUCAGACAUUGAGUUGGAGGCAGGAAUCUGCCUUUUUCGACGAUGCAUUCCUAGUUCAGUUUUAGGAUAAUGUCUUGGUUUGUACAGGUGUUUUUUGCCGGGCCGGCCAAGAUAGGCCAACCAAAUUUACUAAGAUUGAUGAAUAUGUACUGGUUUGUACAGGUGUUACCUGACUAUUUCAUUUCAAAGACCAGCUUAACCUGUUUGUUAUCACCAGGUUGUGGCUUUAACAUAUUCCGUAUAUUUGGAAGGACGGAAGUGAACCAAGAAGCUCAGGUACAGGAAGCUGCUGCAUCAGGUCAGAUGUCUGGCUCCGACAAUUGUGCAAGUUGGCUUUUUUCUUGUUUCGAGCCUGGAGACGGUCCAAAGAAAACUGAUGCAGGUAUGUAAUCUGCAAGGCAUGCUGUACUUACUAGAAGGCAGUUACUCUACAUUUCUUGAAUUUCUCUGAACAAUUUGUACACAUUGCAGGUCCAGAAAAGGAGCCACUAUUACCUGACAAGCAGGACUCCAAUAAUGGUUCAGCUUCAUCAGUUGAAGGUAGCACAGCAUCCGUUCAUAGUCAUGGCAUAAGUGUACAACAACAAGAAUCAAAGAGACCAUUGCCAGCUGAGUCAUCUUCCCAACUUCA